CAAUUAAUUUGUCAUAAGUAAGAGAAAAUCUUAAAUUUAUAAAAUGGAGAAGAAAAUUUGGGAUAUUACACUUAUGUAAAUUGAAUCUGAUAAUGUGUUAAAAGACUUCAACUAAUGCAUGAUAUAGGCCAGAGGGGCAGGUUAUGUUUUCCAAUUCAGUGAUCAACAUGCUGAUAAACAACAGACAAAACUUAUAUAUACUCAACUCUUGCAGUUCCAUGCUGUCUUUAUAACCCACUCCAAAAGCAUUGUUUUUCUUUUCAAAAUAGCUCUUCUUGGACCUGCACAAGCACCAUUAUUUUGUUUGAGGGAGAUAUCUCAUUUUUUAAUUAGGCAUCACAAAUGUGACAUCAAAGGCUCUACCAUGCUGCGAAUCUCUUUUUCAGCUUUGUGCUAUUGUUCCUCCUUGUUGCUAUGCAAGACCAUUUGAGCAAGUUCAUUCUUAAGAACCAAUCUGAUUUAUUCACCAUCUUGCUUGUGUGUGGUUAAGGAUCCUGCUUUUGAGUGAUUCCACGAUUAAAUUAUACCACUAAACAUAAUCAUAAACAUGUAAGCAAAAUCAAAUGCAUGAAAACUGAAAAAAUAUGAGAAACAUGUCACCAUUGCACCAUUUUGUGGGUAAUUAAAUAAACUACGUACUAUCAUUAAGCAUAUUUAUUGUAGAAACAAACAUGAUCCGUACAAAAUUGACCAUCCCUUGCUUACAACAAUACCUUGGGUUUUGUUAUCACAAUUGUUGAACACAUUCGGGCAAUCACCAAAAAUUAUAGUUUUCUGCUGUGAAAAUGAUGAAAAUAAACAUUAGGAAGAUUCUAUUCAAUCUGCCGUCCAAACAAACAUAAUGGCUGAUGAAUUUUUUUUUAGAGAGAUUAAGAUAUAUAGAGAAGAUUAAAAGAUGUGAUAGUUACGUUGUUAAAAUUGGAUUUGUCAGUGGAUGAUAUAUUUAGAGACCAAAUAAAAAAAUUGAGAAACCUCAAAACCAUACCAAAAUUCAUAAGCUUCUGUAUAACCUCCAAACUUCACCUAUAAACACACAUCAAAACCCUUUUCAGAAAAAUUAAGAAAUUAUUUAAGAAUAUAAAGAGACCAAAAUAGAAAAAAAUAAAAUAAAUAAGAGAUGGAGAUGUUAGUUUCUGUAUUGAUUGACUGGGGAGGGAGUGGUGGCUUUUUCUGCCGGACAUC
rnacentral:lncRNA from 1 species